AAAAAGAAAGAAAAAAGCACCAGCCAAAAAGAAACAACAACUUUGGGAAGAAGAAGUUGUGGAAUUUGUGGACGAAGGGGUAGUAAAAUGAAGAAGGAGAUGAAGCAACAGCAACUUGAAUGAAAAGUAGCAUAUUUUAACAUACAUGGCUUCGUUGUCUUCUUCUUCUUUAUCUUUAUCUUCGCUGUCGAUUUUCUUCGCCGUUGACACAUUUUGCAUGUGGAUUUACGCCCAGAGGUGUAAAGACAAAAAUAAAAAUAAAGGAAGGCGAAGACAGAAAAGGCAAGAAAACGGCAGCUGCAAAAACAACAAAAAAGCUCCAAAGAAAGAAGACGCCGGUACAGUUGCGCUCACACACACUCACAUGCUCACACAACAAAUUCGCCAAGAGCGUAAAACCGAAAAAAGUACAGCGUGGCGCUUUUAUAACGGCACACAAAAAAAAUCAAAACAAUGCAAAAGCAAAACAGGCGCAGCACUCAAAACAAAUCGAAGAGUUACGAGCACAAGAGAACAAAUUGAGUGAGUUUUUCUUUUCGAUUUUUGUUGCAGCAACACUGUAGCCAAGACGAAAGUGAAUGUUGCCGAAAUACUGUUGCUAAGAAAUGUUGACGGGGUAAAGUGCCUGCAAAAUACUGGACAGAUACCAGGCAGAUUACAGCCCGAUGUCCUGCGGUGAGGCCCCUUGAGAUUCUGAAUAUUCUCCGUAUAUCAGGCUGCUAAUUAAGGUCACACUUCGCUGAAGAUGACCGCAAUAUUUGUUGGAACGGGGAUUGCCAUUGCAAUUGGGUUUUCCUUGAUGUAACACCCGUCUUGACAACUUAAGUAAGACGACACCGACACCCCAGGAAGAAGUCACACAAGAAAAACACAAACAAGGAUAACAGAAAAAAUCUGCGAUUAAUAGGGGACAACGGAAAUUUCAGGCACCUCUGAUAAAUAAUCUAAAUCUAAACUCCCUUAAUUGGCAAAAGAUGUGGACACAGAGGGGCUCAUUGAGCUGACAUUGUUAUAAGCCAAGAGUUUAUUUACGAUAUAAAGAUAUUGAUAUUAUCCAAGAUUUUAAAACAUC